ACGGGAGGCAGCAGUGGGGAAUAUUGCGCAAUGGGCGCAAGCCUGAUGCAGCGAUGCCGCGUGAGGGAAGAAGGUUUUCGGAUUGUAAACCUCUGUCAACAGGGACGAAAAUGACGGUACCCGUGAAGGAAGCUCCGGCUAACUACGUGCCAGCAGCCGCGGUAAUACGUAGGGAGCAAGCGUUAUCCGGAAUUACUGGGUGUAAAGGGAGUGUAGGCGGGACUGUAAGUCAGAUGUGAAAUAUGCCGGCUCAACUGGCAGACUGCAUUUGAAACUGCGGUUCUUGAGUGAAGUAGAGGUAAGCGGAAUUCCUAGUGUAGCGGUGAAAUGCGUAGAUAUUAGGAGGAACACCGGUGGCGAAGGCGACUUUCUGGACGAUAACUGACGUUGAUGAACGAAAGUGUGGGGAGCAAACAGGAUUAGAUAACCUGGUA
rnacentral:rRNA from 1 species